rnacentral:sRNA from 1 species
GCUGGGUGCAGUGGUGCACACCUGGAAUCCCAGCAGCUUGGGAGGCUGAGACAGGACGAUUGUGAGUUUGAAGCCAGCCCCAGGAACUAGGUAAGGCCCUAAGCUACUCAGAGAGACCCUGUCUCUA